rnacentral:rRNA from 1 species
AGUGAACGCUGGCGGUAGGCCUAACACAUGCAAGUCGAACGGCAGCACAGUAAGAGCUUGCUCUUACGGGUGGCGAGUGGCGGACGGGGGAGGAAUACAUCGGAAUCUACUUUUUCGUGGGGGAUAACGUAGGGAAACUUACGCUAAUACCGCAUACGACCUACGGGUGAAAGCAGGGGAUCUUCGGACCUUGCGCGAGUGAAUGAGCCGAUGUCGGAUUAGCUAGUUGGCGGGGUAAAGGCGCAGCAAGGCGACGAUCCGUAGCUGGUCUGAGAGGAUGAUCAGCCACACUGGCACUGAGACACGGUCCAGACUCCUACGGGAGGCCGCAGUGGGGAAUAUUGGACAAUGGGCGCAAGCCUGAUCCAGCCAUACCGCGUGGGUGCAGAAGGCCUUCGGGUUGUAAAGCCCUUUUGUUGGGAAAGAAAAGCAGCAGGUUAAUCCCCCGCUGUUCUGACGGUACCCAAAGAAUAAGCACCGGCUAACUUCGUG